rnacentral:rRNA from 1 species
UGAUAGGCUGCAGGUGUAAAGGCGGUAACGUCAAAGCUGAGCAGUACUAAUUACCCGUGAUCUUUCCG